GAAAUUAAUUUGCUGAAACCAAUCGCUGGCCACAUACACUUGAAUAUUAUUAAUACUAACUGCUAUUAAAUUUACAGAGCAAAUCUAAAAACAAGGGUAAUCUACACAUUUGAACCAAGUAUUGUAAUGGUGCAUAAUUCCCAAGCUCAUUCAUAUGCUUAAAACCAAAGCUUAAAAUAAUAGAAUCAUUAUGUGAGACGACCAUGAACUUAAUAUCACCACAAACAUGAAACAAUUUAACCAAAGUCCAACAAAGGUGCUACUCGUCUGAAUUAACCCUUGUUGUAAUAGUCUAACCCAAAUCCAUGAUAGAAAGAGUUCAAUCCAGCCAAAAACCAAAAUGACAAAAUUAAUGUCUCAAUACAACCCUAAAAAUGUGUUGUUGGUAGUACGAUUAAACACAAUAAAAUUACAUGUAAAGCUAAUUUAGUAAGAAAAAAUAGAAAUAAACUUCGAAGAACAUAAAUUAAUCUACAAUCAUCUAAUCAUUUAUCCUUAAAUGUCCUAACCAACUGCAUGGCUUUAAACUUGUUGUUCACGCGUUUAACAGGGUCCAAGAAGUACCUGGGACAACAAGAAACAAACAAAGAAUUUCGCAAAGAAACAACAAUAACAACAACUUCUUUAAACAGGAGUAGCAACAACUCUCAAUCAGUUGCCACCAUUUUUGAACCCAGAAAAAGAGUAGUCCAUUUGAGCUUUUUAAAAAUCCAUAGAAAAUGAAGACAAAACUGCAAUGGAACAAUGAUUUGCAAAAUUCGUUUUUGUUUGUUUUUCUUUUCUUUUUUGAUAUUUCAAGUUCUAUCAGCGGAGAGCUAUUUUUCAGUCGUUUCUCAAUUCCAGUGUUCUAAUUCUCAAAGGUUUGCCCUGAAAAAGAAGGAAAACAACCUUCUUAUAGAAGCCCUCUAAGGCAGCAUAAAUGAUUUUCAGUUUUCCUUACCCCUUCUUUGAAUUUCUACUUUUUCACUUUAACGCGGAUUUUAGGUUCUGCUUCCCAAACUAAACCCAAACCCCACCUUCCUAGCAAUUUUCUACUCAUUUUUGUAAGAUUCUCUAAAUUAAAAACCCUAAACUACUAUUUAGGCUUCUGCUAUGGGUCAAGUUGACCCAACAAACACCAAAACACAUGGGCUUGAAAACCCGGAUUGACUUUCUCUCAUUGGGCUACUACUGACAGAGCCCAAAUUGUAAUUCAAAACCAGUAUAAAGCAAAGCAAGGAACUGGGCCAACAGAGUUCUAGGAAACUUCUGAAGCUAGGAAUCGAUCGUCUCCGACUCCCUAAAAAAAAGUACUUGGUGACCUAGAAGAUCAGGGUCUUUCCUUACCUUAGCUGAGCCUUAUGUCCCUUCAACAUUCCUAUUCAUCUUGCCUUUUCUUGCAUCCAAACAAAAAUAUGAGGGACUUUAAGCAAAAUUAAACAACAGAAUCAAAUAAAUUUUAAAAAAUGGUGACUACAAAAAAAAUCUUAAACUUAGCAUGCAUACAAAAAUAUUUUUAAAAACAGAAAAACAAAAAAGAAAAAGAAUGAAUCAAAAGAAGAUGAGAUCGAAAAAGUAAGACAAAGACUGAAAGAGCUAAUAGAGGCAGAUAGACAACGGGCUUGACCUGACUUCAAAACCUCUGAUUUUGAGCCAAAAUUAGCCUUAAUCACGUGCUCAUGAUAAGAACAGACGAACAAAGUCAGUUUCGACCUUAAUCAUUUGUUGAACUUGACGAUUUGGGAAGAUUUGGGAUUUGUAGGGUUUUGGCCGGAUUGCUUCAAUUGAAGAUUCAAGACACUAUAGAGGGAUUCGAGGGAAUUGGUCGGAGAUUGUAAAAAGGGAUGUUACGAGGGUUCUGUGGUGUCAAUUUGGUGGGGUUUCAAGGUUGCGUCACCACCGGAGAUGAUAAGAAGCAUUAGGGCGGCGCUAGGGAUAAGGUUUAGAUAAAAAAGAUAAUGUGGGACGGUACUAGGUUCUCUGAAGGGGGUUCGGACAAUUUUAUGUAAUUAUAAUGAGGCUUUGAUGGCCCUUGGAUGAAAG
rnacentral:lncRNA from 1 species